ensembl:lncRNA
GGGGACCCCAAAAUCCGCCCGGGACCCCCCCGGUGUCCCCUCCCCCCGCCGGAGCAUCCUGAGGGCGCCCACGUUCCGCUGGGACAGCGGUGACGUCAUCAGGCUGGGCCGUGACGUCAUCAAGCUGGGCCGUGACGUCAUCAAGCCCAGCCGGGUGGUUAUCAAGCCGUGUGACAUCGUUAAACCUGGGUGUGACGUCAUCAAGCCCCGCUGUGACGUCAUCAAGGGCGGCUCCGCUGGUGUCAAACCCGGCGGUGACGUCAUCGACCUCACUGAUGACGUCAGCACGCCGACUCGUGAAGAUGUCGGAACUGCCUGUGACGUCAUCAAACCGACCUGUGACGUCAUGAAAGCUUCCUGGGAUGCCAUCAAACCCACGUGUGAUGUCAUCAAACCAGCAUGUGACGUCAUCGGUGCUGUCGGAGACAUCACGAAUCCCACCUGUGACGUCAUCAAAGCUGCUGACAUCGUUAAAAACGCCAGUGACGUCAUCAACGGCACCAGCGACAUCACACGCAACGGAAGUGACGUCAUCAACAGCGUGGGCACUGACCAGGGCUGCGAUGAUGCAAUCAGGGACGGCGAUGACGUCAUCGAGCCCAGCGAUGACGUCACUGCGGUCACCUCGAGGACAGCAGGAUGCCCCGCCCCCUUUGGCAACACCACGAUGACCUUUGACCCCCCGGUGACCUUUGACCCCGGGGUGCCUCUGCGGUUGCUGCAGGUGACCCUGGCUGACCCCGCCGUGACCUUUGACCCCGCGCUGACCUCUGCAGGCCCCGCCCCCUCCCAGCCCCGCCCCCUUUUGCUGCGAGCUCCUCUCUUCGCCCCAAGCCCCGCCCACCUCCGCAUCUACCAAUCACCGAGCUCGGCGCCGGCCGUGAGCCACGCCCUCACACUUCCGGUGCAAGCCACGCCCACUCCUGCCCCUGCCCAGCGACUUCCGCAUCAAGCCACGCCCACUUCUGAACCAAACACGCGACUUCCUGUUCAAACCACGCCCACUUCCGGUUUGAACCACCUCGCUCUCCGUCCACCGGAGGGCGCUGUGGGCGCGGCAGGAAGUGACGUCACCAAACCCGGAAGUGGUGGCGGGGAGGGCGGGGCCGGGCCAGGAGAGAUGGGGAAGGGGCCCGAUGACGUCAUGGGGCUGAGCGAUGACGUCACGGGGCGCGUCAUCGACCUGCUGAGCCGCGCCCGCGUUCAACUGGGGAGGAUCGACCGGAGGAGGGGAACGGUGGGGUCGGAGGAGCCUGAGGAGCCCCAGGUGAGAAUUGGGGGAAAAUUUGGGAAAUUUGGGAAUUUUUAAAAAUUUUUUGGGGUAAUUCAGUGAAUUUGGGGAAAUUUUUUUUUAAUUUUGGGAUGGUUUUGUGUGAAAUUUUUGAUUAUUUUUGUUUUGGAGAGAUUCGGGAAAUUUUGUGAAUUUUGGGUGAAAUUUUUGUGCUUUUGGCCGGGCUUAAAACGCAUUUUUAUAAUUUUUAUUGGAAUUUUUGGGCUGAUUUUUUUGGGCUUUUGGGUGAUUUUUAAUUUUUUAUAUUUUUGGGGUGCAGUUUUUAAUUUAGUGGAGGAUUUUAGUGAGUUUUGGGUGAAAAUUUUGGGAUUUUGGUAAAAAUUUUUUGGGGUUUCCUGGUGAUUUUUAGGGUUUUUUUGGGUGAUUUUUUUUAUUUUCACGAGGAUUUUUUGGGGUGGAAUUUUUGGGAUUUUGGGUGAAUUUUUUUUCGGUUUUGGGUGGGAUUUGGGCUCAUUUCAGGGUUUGCUGUUUCUUGGAAAUUUUGGGGUUUUUUUUGAGGAUUUGGCCUCAAAAUUUUCCCAAAAUUUUCUAAAUUUUCCCCAAUAAUUCCCAGGGCUGCCCUCGGAUCAAGCACGUCUGCAGGAGAACCCCUGAUGGUGAGGGACCCAAAAUAACCCAAAAAACCCCAAAAAUCCAUCCCUAAAACCCCAAAAAAAUCCCCAAAAUCCACCCCAAAAAACGCCCAAAAUUCACCCCUAAAAUGCCCCAAAAAUUCACUUUGGGAAUCCUAAAAAAAUCCCAAAAAUUCAUUGCAAAAACCCAAAAAAAACCCCAAAAUCCAUCCCAAAAACUCCCAAAAUUCAUCCCAAAAACUGCCAAAAUUCACCCCUAAAAUGCCCCAAAAAUUCACUUUGGGAUCCCCAAAAAAAGUCCCAAAAAUUCACCCCUAAAACCCCAAAAAAAUCCCCAAAAUCCACCCCAAAAACUCCGAAAUUUCACCCCAAAAAUUCCCCAAAAAUCCAAUUUGUAAUCCGAAAUUAACUGUUUUAAUUAAAGCCGAAUUAACCCUUUAAACCCU